rnacentral:rRNA from 1 species
AUUGAACGCUGGCGGAAUGCUUUACACAUGCAAGUCGAACGAUGAACCUUAGCUUGCUAAGGGGAUUAGUGGCGAACGGGUGAGUAAUAUAUCGGAACGUACCUUGUAGUGGGGGAUAACUAGUCGAAAGAUUAGCUAAUACCGCAUACGCCCUGAGGGGGAAAGUAGGGGAUCUUCGGACCUUACGUUAUAAGAGCGGCCGAUAUCUGAUUAGCUAGUUGGUGGGGUAAUGGCCUACCAAGGCGACGAUCAGUAGCUGGUCUGAGAGGACGACCAGCCACACUGGAACUGAGACACGGUCCAGACUCCUACGGGAGGCAGCAGUGGGGAAUUUUGGACAAUGGGCGCAAGCCUGAUCCAGCCAUUCCGCGUGAGUGAAGAAGGCCUUCGGGUUGUAAAGCUCUUUCGCAAGGGAAGAAAACUUACAUUCUAAUAAAGUGUGAGGCUGACGGUACCUUGAUAAGAAGCACCGGCUAACUACGUGCCAGCAGCCGCAGUAA